GAGGAAUAUUGGUCAAUGGGCGCAAGCCUGAACCAGCCAAGUAGCGUGCAGGAAGACGGCCCUAUGGGUUGUAAACUGCUUUUAUACGAGAAUAAUUUGAUGCACGUGUGCGUUAUUGCAUGUAUCGUAUGAAUAAGGACCGGCUAAUUCCGUGCCAGCAGCCGCGGUAAUACGGAAGGUCCAGGCGUUAUCCGGAUUUAUUGGGUUUAAAGGGAGUGUAGGCGGUUUGUUAAGCGUGUUGUGAAAUUUAGAUGCUCAACAUUUAACUUGCAGCGUGAACUGGCGAACUUGAGUGCACACAACGUAUGCGGAAUUCAUGGUGUAGCGGUGAAAUGCUUAGAUAUCAUGAAGAACUCCGAUUGCGAAGGCAGCUGACGGGAGCGCAACUGACGCUUAAGCUCGAAGGUGCGGGUAUCAAACAGGAUUAGAUACCCUGGUAGUCCGCACAGUAAACGAUGGAUGCCCGCUGUUGGUACCUAGUAUCAGCGGCUAAGCGAAAGCAUUAAGCAUCCCACCUGGGGAGUACGCCGGCAACGGUG
rnacentral:rRNA from 1 species